AACGAACGCUGGCGGCAGGCCUAACACAUGCAAGUCGAGCGCCCCCUUCAGAGGUCAGAGACAGAUGUCGGAUGUCAGAAGUUCACUGCGUGGAUCACGCGCGGUGCCUUUCUGACAUCUGACAUCCGACAUCUGACUUCUGAUGGGGGGAGCGGCGGACGGGUNAGUAACGCGUGGGAAUCUUCCUUGAGGUACGGAACAACUGAGGGAAACUCAGCUAAUACCGUAUGAAGCCGGGAGGCCAAAGAUUUAUCGCCUUGGGAUGAGCCCGCGUCAGAUUGGUAGUGGUGGGUAACGGCUACAAGCCUGCGAUCUGUAGCUGGUCU
rnacentral:rRNA from 1 species